rnacentral:rRNA from 1 species
AUACGAAGGGGGCUAGCGUUACUCGGAAUGACUGGGCGUAAAGGGCGCGCAGGCGGUUUGAACAGUCAGAUGUGAAAUUCCUGGGCUUAACCUGGGGGCUGCAUUUGAUACGUUUAGACUAGAGUGUGAAAGAGGGUUGUGGAAUUCCAAGUGUAGAGGUGAAAUUCGUAGAUAUUUGGAGGAACACCGGUGGCGAAGGCGGCGACCUGGUUCACAACUGACGCUGAGGCGCGAAAGCGUGGGGAGCAAACAGGAUUAGAUACCCUGGUAGUCCACGCUGUAAACGAUGUAUGCUAGAUGUUAGGCAACAUAGUUGUUUAGUGUCGAAGUUAACGCGAUAAGCAUACCGCCUGGGGAGUACGGCCGCAAGGUUGAA